rnacentral:lncRNA from 1 species
UUUUUCAUUCAAUGCUCGAUUAAGUUGAUAAAGAAAGAAGAGAAAAAGAAAGAAAAUGGAUGCAAUUAUUCUUCCAACACACCGUUUACUAGUUAAUACCCAUGCUAAGUUUCAUGUUUAUGGAAUCAAGAACGGCAUUCCCAAUCCACGCAAGUCUCAAUCAGACUGUUUCUUUUAUCCUGUUAAGCACUUGGGUUGAGAGAAAAGGAGAGUAAAACUCUAGCUUAAUUCAAUUGGAAGAGGAUGGAUGUUUGAAAUGUGAUCCCAAGUUUAUGUUACUACUCCAGUAGGGAGUUGUCAAACAAAUAAAGAUGAGGUGCAUUGUCGUCUUAACUGUGGCAGAAACAGACUUCCCACUCCAUGUUGCAAAGGCCUGCUAUUCUUCUCACCAAUCCCAGUCUGCUCCUUCUGGCAUCCACGGAGUUAACCACGUUAAUAACUUGGAUACUGUCACUCUCAACCAUUACUUUGCGUUGGCCUCAAUCCCCUGUAAUCCUUGGCAUAUAUAUAUUUAUUUAAUAUUAAUUAUUACUAAUCAAUAUAAAUAUAAAAUUAGGAUAAAUUUAUUUUAUUAAAUAUAAAUAUAAUUUUUAAUAGUUUUUAUUAUAUAUAAUCAUUUUAAUAUAAUGUUGAUUAUUUUUACGAUUAAAUUCAAACACAUAUAAAGUAAUUUGUCCUAAAAUAAUUAAUUUCACUACUUCCUUUAUUUUUAAUUUUUCGUUCAACUCAACCGUUAAACUAAACAGACCAAAUAGAAUUAGACGUGAUUGCAGUAAUACUUGGCCCUUAAAAAAGGUGUAAGCAAAGUCGUCUCAUCAUCUUCACAUGUUGCAAACCAUAUAAGAACAAAGUGAAGAAGACUAUAGACAUAUGCGUAAUAAUAAACAAAGACAACUUGUCCCUAUAAGAAGACCCUUUUUUUUUAUCUAUUUGCCAUUAGACUGUCGUUUUGGUCUUCACAAUUCAUACUCGUAUGAUUUGUCCAAUUGUGCUCGUGAAACAGAUAUGAAAAGUCAGACAGUCAAAUGCCAAAAUAAAAAAUAAUAAAAAAAUCACAAAUGGGUCCAAUAAAAUAGUAGUAUUCUGCUAUCAACUUAAUCAGUUUGAUUACUAUGAUUAAUCUCGUGGAUCGUCAAACAUGACCUUUUUUCUUGUUUAUUAGGAGAAAAAAAACUAUUGUUUAGUUUCAGUCUAAACCCAUGUUUGCCGCUGUCUAUAUAAUCAUCCUCCUACCUAGUAUACUCGUAAGCUAUCUUCAUCACAAAUUCAAUUCUCAAAUCAGCUUAGAGGUUUAUCCUUGCCUCUCCGACUGUAAUUAACCUGUUUUAAGUUGAGAAAUGGAUGUUUACAAGAGAGGUUUCAUAUCUGAAACUUCAAGAAGUGAAGAAGAGAUGGAGCUAAGGAAAGGUCCAUGGACUGAAGAAGAGGACUCCAUGCUUAGGGCGUAUGUCAAUAUCCACGGCGAAGGUCGCUGGAACGCUGUUGCUCGCUUAUCAGGUUAAUAUAUAUAGCGUAGUUUCUUUCCCUGGUUAUUGAAACAAAUUUGGUUUUAGCUUUUAUUCGUAAUUUCUCACAGUAUGAAAUGAAAUGUGCGCAGGAUUGAGAAGAACCGGUAAAAGCUGCAGAUUGAGAUGGCUGAACUAUAUGCGACCAGAAAUCAAACGAGGAAACAUCAGCCUCGAAGAGCAGCUAUUGAUUCUUGAACUCCAUUCUCGCUGGGGGAACAGGUUUUUUUGCUGGCUUUCCUCCUUCCUGCAAUUCAAUAAACAUAAGAAUGAUCUUAGGCUAAUCUUUUUGACCUUUUGAAACUGUGAAGGUGGUCGAAAAUUGCACAACACUUGCCUGGAAGAACAGACAAUGAAAUAAAGAAUUAUUGGAGAACAAGAGUCCAGAAGCAGGCCAAGCAGCUUAACUGUGACGUUAACAGCAAACAAUUCAAGGACGCCAUGCGUUACGUUUGGAUCCCCCGUUUAGUUGAACGGAUCCGUGCUUCAUCCGAGUCUCCCUCGAGUCAACCUUCUACCACCACCAACACCACCUACAAUGAUCGUAUCAGCAACAUAAGCAGCAGUCAAAUGAGCUACGCAAAUGCGAGUGGGUCGGUCCAGGUUGACCCAAGUCUUCUGCCCGAAUUAUCAGGCACGUCAUCAGACUCCCUUGACACCCAAGUCUCUUCCGUUUCGGACCUGACCGAUUGUUACAAUCCACAAAGCCUUUCAAACUACUUACACAAGGGGUUAGGUUUGGAAAAGGAGGGAGCGGCCACAUGGGGCAGAGAUGAAGAAUUCCAGGCGACAGAGGAGCAUAGCAAUGGUUGGUUGGUUGGUGGUGGGGAGUCAUCGAUGGACACUGUGUGGAAUGAAGAGAAUGUUUGGUUUUUACAGCAGCAGCUUCAUGAUGGGAUCUAACCACAUGAAUUCGCUAGCGUGACGGUUUCACUUUUUCUAUUUUAAACCAUUGUCCCCAUACUGUUAUCGGAUGAUGGAGAAUAUGAAAAACACAAGUUUCGACUAACAUCGCCAAAUGCACUGCCUUUAGAAUGUAAAUGAUUCACGCAACAUUGUCAGGGUUUAUAUGUAGCAUUAAUUAUUAGUGUGUUCUGAAGAAAUAUCUUUUGCUCUGCUCUAAUCUACUUUGUUUUUUCUUUUUAUCAUUAUUCGAGCAUUCAUAGUUUAAUUUUUAUUGAAAACAAAUUUUACUAGUGUUACACAAUUUGUCAAUGGAAAAUAUUUUAAGAUAUGAUGGUAGUAUUUAUAAAUACGUAUUUUAUUAUAUAUUUAACAUGUAUCAUACAAUAAAUUAAAUAAAAUUAGAUAAAAACACUCAUAAAAUAACAAUAAUAGUAUUUGAGUAAUAUGGCAGUUUAAUUUUUUCGAAAAAAGAGUGCUAAAUAAUCUAGUUUCUAUUAUAGGCAGAUGAAUUGGAAUUAGUUGUAUGAAAGCUUGAAAAAAUCUUUAGAAACUUGAUAAUAAUUAAAGAAGAGAAUUGCAUAGGUGUGGAAUAUCCUGGAAGUACAAUACAUAUAUAUCAUGUAUGUAUGCUUGUUUUCUUGGUUUGUCUCUAUAUGCAAAUGCAUGGUUUGACAGUUUGGGUGAGAAUGUGGGAUGAAAACUCUCCCUCCCCAACAUUGUCUGUGGAGACAGAUCCCAUGGAUCCUUCUUUUCUUUUGGCACAUUUUCUUAAUGUUUAUCCAAGCAAAGAAUUAGAUCUCGUGAGUCGUGACUGCUGCUGCAACUUGGAGAUUCUAGAAGAGGAACCUUUGUCAUUGGUUUAUUUAAUUUAAAAUUGGAAUCAAAAAGAAGAGGGGCCUAAAUAUUCAGAGGGGAAAAAAGGGUUCAUUUUGCAUCGGAUUUUCAACGGUAGCCGUAGGGUUCCAAGCACUAACUGCCGAAACCGUUGAAAUCAUGUCCAAUUCCAAAGGUCUAACCAGUCACCCCCAUUGAAUCAGUAGUCAACUCUAACUCCCAUCCAUGCCACCCUGCCAUUGAAUCUAUUCUUAUUCAAAUUUAUAUAUCUAGACUCAUUCCAUGUUGGAAACAAUCACACAUUCUCCACGCUAUGAGUCAUUGCAUGAUGGAAAAUUAAGUAACUAAAUGUGAACGUGGAUCGAAGAGAAUGGCAAGUUGGGAAAUACUAUUUAUCGGACAACAAAAACUCUUCAAUGCAUACACUAAACGAGCUGAUUAUUCCAAGCCAAAAUUUAAACAGUAGGCAGGCACCCAUUGGUGCUAGGCUUGACUCUUAUAGCCUUUCCCCUAAUUAUAGGGUGAGAUAAUUAUUAAUCAUAUUGAAAAUUGAAGGGAAAGCCAAGGCCUUGGUCUUUUUUCCCCCAGAUGCAGUAGCCAAUUGUUUUAUAAGUUGCUUCCUUCCAAGUAAACGUUUUAGUGGAGUUUAGAAAUUGAAUUGUGGGCUGAAAAUGAUUCUCUCUUUCUAUCACGAUGCUGUCACUGCUUACCUCAGCCUGCUGCCCGCGUUUUUGUUUUAGAGAUAAAUGUCAUAUUUUAUACCCAUAUUUUUUUAAAUGUUGAAUUUUCAAUUUGUAUACUAUUUGGUACUUAUGUUUUCAUAAAAUAUUUAAUAUGAUACAUGAAAUAUCAAUUUCUAUAUUAUUGUGGUAUCUAAAGUUAGCAUUGUUAGUAAAUACUAAAUCAACCUAUUAAAAUUCAACACGUGAAAACUUUCUUCUUUUCGAAUCAUCAAUUCUACAUAGAUAAUAUAUUAUUAAAUAAAACAAAAAGAUUAACCUAUAUUAAAUUUUAAAAAAUAACUAAACUUAAACCUUUUAAAGUUAAACCAUGUUGUUUAUGUUUAGUUAUUUUUUAAAUUUAAUUUCUAACAUAAUGUUAUAUUAUCUAUAUGAAAUUGAUGAUUUGAGAAAUCAAUCCAUGUGUCGAAUUUUCAUUUAGUAAAAGUGGUAACUCCAAGGACAAUGAUAAUACAUAGAUUAAUAGUUCAGGCACUACAUUAAACAUCUUCAAAGUACAAGUAUUAUAUUAAACAUUUUAUAAGAAUAUAAAUACCAAAUAAUAUAUAAAAUAAUAGUUUAAGUACCACAUUACGCAUUUUCAAAGUGCAAAUAACAUUAUCUUAUUAUAUUUUUGUUAUCGGCCCGUUCGCAUUUGGGCGAUUAUUGAGAUUGAGCCCAUUAAUCUGCCCAUCAAAACGCCUGCCUUUAAAUUGGGUUUCAUGAGCUUGGAUCAUCAGACCUGACCCUGCUCAUUCUCUACUCCGUUAUAUCACUGACUCACUUCACCAGCAAUAAACUCCACUUAACUCGCCUCCAUUUAUAUAACUAAUUAUAUGGAAAAUAUUUAUAUAUUGUAUAUUACUAUUAUUAUCAUUAACACGUCUAAGACCCAUUAUUUAAUUCUGAAAAUUAAACUAAUUUUGAUUACUAAUAAUAAUUCAAAAGUUUUUAAUAAAACAUUAACAUGUAGCCGUAGGGACAUGCAAAUUAGACCUGUCCAUGGGUCGGGCGGCCCAGCCCGACGGCCCGCCCGAAUUAUGUGAGGGUUUUGGUAAAAAUAUAGGCCCGAAAUAUGGGCUCGGGCAAAAAUUUAGGCCAGUUUAAAAAAUGGGCCGGGCCUCGGGCAAGAUUUUUUUGGCCCGGGCCUGGCCCGGCCCGGAAAAUAUUAAAUAUAUAUAUUUUUAUUUUUAAAAUAUAAUAGUUUUUUAUUUUAAGUUUAUUUACUUUCAUUUCCUUGACUAGUGUUACAAAAUAAUAAUAAUAAACAAUCAAGUUUGUUUUAUACAAUUAAUAAUUUGAUAAAUUUACUAAUCAAAUGUUAGAUUUUAUUACAACAAUUAAUACAAUUAACAAUUAAUAAUUUGAUAAUUUUACUAACAAUUAAUUUUAAUUUAAUUAAAAAUGGGCCGGGCCGGGCCGGACUUGGGCCCCAUAUUUUUUCUCCAGGCCGGGCCUGGGCAAAAUCUCAAGCCCAUGUUUUUCGGCCGGGCAUGUGCCUAGUAAACGGGCUGAAAUUUUUUUUGAACCCGGCCCGACCCGGCUCAUGGACAGGUCUAAUGCAAAUUAAGGUCCCAUGGUGGCUAAGAAAGUUCAUCUUUAAUUUUUAGGACUUUCCAAUAUUUUUAUUUACUUUAUUUAAAACAUUAAUAAAAUGUUUCAUAAUAUAUAAAAAUCACAUACCGUCAGUUUCAAAAAGAAAAAUGACAUGCUGUCAAAUGUCAAUGUAAGCUUAUAUAGGGACUGGGAACAACUGAAUCCUAAUCUAGUUAUGAUCAAGGGUUAGAUAAAGGCUGUGUUACUUCUUUCGGGGGUCUUUGUUUAUAUUUCAGCUUCUUUUUUCUGUUAAAAACACAUACAUCAGCUACCAUCUGAUCUGAAAUUAAUUAAUUUUUGUUUCCAGGUUCCUUGUUAUAAAUUAUACAAGAAUGUCAUACACUUAAUUCUUUACUCAGAGUAAUGCAGAAAGGAGAAAAAGGAAAAAGACCAAGAAAGUAAACACCAUACGUAGGGCUGGGUUGUCAAGGCCAUAUGCAAGGGUGAUGAGCUAUUUUCCAAGUGUGGGCAUCCUCCUCCUUGCCAGUGGGCAUCCAAAUGCAGCCUUGGUGUCUCACAUCAUGGUUACUGUCUUCAAUCUCUACCUUGUUCGACAAAAGAUCAUGAUUUUGGCAUCUGAUCAUAAGCGCCUUCGCUAACAAAAUUAAAGAAGCCAUGCUUUCCUCAAUUGCGUCCCGGGCAUAUAUAACACACUAUCAACCAACGUCAUUUCUAAUUAGCUUCUCAGCCACUCCCCUAAUAUAAAAUCCUUAUCUCCUUAACUACUCAUUUGAAUUUGGCCAACCAUAUUAGUGCAAGCAAAUCCGAAUUUAUUCCCAAAAGGAAAAGACUGUGAAUCAAAUAAUUUGG